AAGAUUGGUGCUUGCACCAAUUUGAAGAGCAGCGAACGGGUGAGUAACGGGUGGGGAAUCUCCUUUUGCGCGGGGGACAACAUUCGGAAACGAAUGUUAAUACCGCAUAAUAAUUUUAAACACAAGUUUUAAGUUUGAAAGAUGCAAUUGCAUCACUCAAAGAUGAUCCCGCGUUGUAUUAGCUAGUUGGUGAGGUAAAGGCUCACCAAGGCGAUGAUACAUAGCCGACUUGAGAGGGUGAUCGGCCACAUUGGGACUGAGACACGGCCCAAACUCCUACGGGAGGCAGCAGUAGGGAAUCUUCGGCAAUGGACGAAAGUCUGACCGAGCAACGCCGCGUGAGUGAAGAAGGUUUUCGGAUCGUAAAACUCUGUUGGUAGAGAAGAACGUUGGUGAGAGUGGAAAGCUCAUCAAGUGACGGUAACUACCCAGAAAGGGACGGCUAACUACGUGCCAGCAGCCGCGGUAAUACGUAGGUCCCGAGCGUUGUCCGGAUUUAUUGGGCGUAAAGCGAGCGCAGGUGGUUUAUUAAGUCUGGUGUAAAAGGCAGUGGCUCAACCAUGUAUGCA
rnacentral:rRNA from 2 species